AGAAAAGGGUAGAUGUUGCACUGAAGGACAUGAUUUAGUGGUAUAGUGGUGAUUAAUUAGUAAUUGAGCUAGAUCUUAGUAGUCUUUUCCAACCUUAAUGAUUCUAUGAUUAGCACAUCCCUGAAUCCAGAAGGUUCUGAUCAAGCUUUUCCUCAUGCAUCCCUAAGUCAAGCUGAGGUUACGUUGAAAGCUGGAAGAGAAUGUCAAAACUGUUUUCACAUUAAGUGUGGAAGUUGGGGCUAGAAUCCAGAACCAUCCACUUCAAAGUGAAAAAGAACAUCCCAUCUCUUACUUCAUCCAAAGGUGUGUGGAUGAACCUCCCAUCUUUUGUCAGAAUAUUCUCUAUGAUGCUUGUAACCUCAGUGAAUGGGCAUUCUAAGCAUGAGAUGCUGAUUGAUACCUAACAAAGGAACCUGUGAAGCAAUGGAAGGCAAUGAUAAUGUCUUCUAGGACAGGAGCAUGCCUAUGAAGAAAUAAAGAGGACAAAAAGCAGCGUUCCCAAUGAAAAGACAUCUUCAUACACUCCUCUUGUCAUCAAUGGAUCAAAGAUUAGAAGAUCUUUAGCAGUGGAGGCUGAAAGAGGCUUGGCUGAGUGACUACUGAAAGGAUACCUGAGAGUGCAAUUUGGAAAAUGCAGGAAGGAUAUUGCAACGUUCUCACAUGUGUCCUGUACUCAUUUUCCUGCAGAGUAUUGGAAAUCUGUUUCAAAAUCUGUUGCUUUGGCUGACCUUUGGGAAGGCUCCAUUGGUGUGUUCUGGUGAGUAAAGAUGAAAAAUAUCUAUGAAAUGAAUGAAACAGGAGAGAAGCAAAACUGUGAAUAUUUAGAGAGAAAGGACAUGAAAGUAAGAGACUUGUUCAUUUUGAGACCAUAAGAUGUCUUCAUGCUAGAAUUAAAAUAACUUAGA